rnacentral:rRNA from 1 species
AGAGUUUGAUCCUGGCUCAGGACGAACGCUGGCGGCGUGCUUAACACAUGCAAGUCGAACGAGGCACUUGUGCCUAGUGGCGAACGGGUGAGUAACACGUGAGCAAUCUGCCCCUGGCUCUGGGAUAGCCUCCGGAAACGGGGAUUAAUACCGGACAUGACCCUUCCUCGCAUGAGGGGGGGUGGAAAGUUUUUCGGCUGGGGAGGGGCUCGCGGCCUAUCAGCUUGUUGGGGGGGUGACGGCCCCCAAGGCGACGACGGGUAGCCGGCCUGAGAGGGCGACCGGCCACACUGGGACUGAGACACGGCCCAGACUCCUACGGGAGGCAGCAGUGGGGAAUAUUGCACAAUGGGCGGAAGCCUGAUGCAGCGACGCCGCGUGCGGGAUGAAGGCCUUCGGGUUGUAAACCGCUUUCAGCAGGGGCGAAUCUGAGACGGUACCUGCAGAAGAAGCGCCGGCUAACUACGUGCCAGCAGCCGCGGUAAUACGUAGGGCGCGAGCGUUGUCCGGAUUUAUUGGGCGUAAAGAGCUCGUAGGCGGCCUGUUGCGUCCGCUGUGAAAUCCCGGGGCUCAACCCCGGGCGUGCAGUGGAUACGGGCAGGCUGGAGGCAGGCAGGGGAGAACGGAAUUCCCGGUGUAGCGGUGAAAUGCGCAGAUAUCGGGAGGAACCCGGUGGCGAAGGCGGUUCUCUGGGCCUGUGCUGACGCUGAGGAGCGAAAGCGUGGGGAGCGAACAGGAUUAGAUACCCUCGUAGUCC